rnacentral:rRNA from 1 species
GAUGAACGCUGGCGGUAUGCUUAACACAUGCAAGUCGAACGGUCACUCCGGUGAUAGUUGCGGACGGGUGAGUAACGCGGGAGAAUCUGUCUGCAUGCCGGGGACAAUAGUUAGAAAUGACUGCUAAUAUCGGAUGUGCCUUUCGGUUAAAGAUUUAGUGCCUGAAAAAGAGCUCGCGUCAGAUUAGCUAGUAGGUGGUGGAAGAGACUACCUAGGCACGAACCUGUAGAUGGUCUGAGAGGACGAUCAGCCACACUGGAACUGAGACACGGUCCAGAAUACUACGGGAGGCGGCAGUGGGGAAUUUUGCCAAAUGGGCGAAAGCCUGACGGCGCACGACCGCGUGAGGGACGAAGGCGUUUGAGUAGUAAACCACUUUACUAAAGGAAUAUGAUGACGGUACUUAAGGAAUAAGCAUCGGCUAACUCUGUG